UUGAAAGGGAAACGAUUGAAGUCAGUCGUACCGACGAGAAAUCAACUUAUCGUGUGCGAACUUGUGGGCGUGCGUGAGUUUCGGCCUCGCUGUUUGCAUGUUUGUGCGUUUUGGGUGUACUUUUUCGUAUGGUAGGCCAACGUCAGUUUCGAUUAUCAUAAAAUGACCGGCGGAAUGUAGCUUCGAUUUCGGUUGAAGUGUUAUAGCCUCUGGUAGAUGUGGUGAUUGAGACUGAGGAUUGCAACGAAUACCCUUCGGGCUAUCCGUCUGGCCUCUGAAAGUUGCUCAGGUGCCGAAAGCGUGCUUACGGUUAUCUAAGGUAACGUUCAACAGGUUAGAACGUGAUUACAUUCGUUAAGGAUGUUGACGUA
rnacentral:rRNA from 1 species